rnacentral:rRNA from 1 species
UACGAGAGGCCCAAACAUUAUUCGGAAUUACUGGGCUCAAAGAGUUCGUAGGCGGCAUGGUAAGUAGGGUGUGAAAUCCCUCGGCUCAACCGAGGAAUUGCGCUCUAAACUACCGUGCUCGAGGAAGCUAGAGGUGAGCGGAACUGAUGGUGGAGCGGUGAAAUGCGUUGAUAUCAUCAGGAACACCGGAGGCGAAGGCGGCUCACUGGGGCUUUUCUGACGCUGAGGAACGAAAGCCAGGGUAGCGAACGGG